rnacentral:rRNA from 1 species
CCUACGGGAGGCAGCAGUGAGGAAUAUUGGUCAAUGGACGGAAGUCUGAACCAGCCAUGCCGCGUGCAGGAAGACGGCUCUAUGAGUUGUAAACUGCUUUUGUACAAGGGUAAACCUGAAUACGUGUAUUCAGCUGAAAGUACUGUACGAAUAAGGAUCGGCUAACUCCGUGCCAGCAGCCGCGGUAAUACGGAGGAUCCGAGCGUUAUCCGGAUUUAUUGGGUUUAAAGGGAGCGUAGAUGGGUUGUUAAGUCAGUUGUGAAAGUUGGCGGCUCAACCGUAAAAUUGCAAUUGAUACUGGCAGUCUUGAGUACAGUUGAGGUAGGCGGAAUGCGUGGUGUAGCGGUGAAAUGCUUAGAGAUCAUACAGAACACCGAUUGCGAAGGCAGCUUACCAAUCUAUAUCUGACGUUGAGGCACGAAAGCGUGGGGAGCAAACAGGAUUAGAUACCCCUGUAGUC